GUGGGGAAUCUUGCGCAAUGGGCGAAAGCCUGACGCAGCCAUGCCGCGUGAAUGAUGAAGGUCUUAGGAUUGUAAAAUUCUUUCACCGGGGACGAUAAUGACGGUACCCGGAGAAGAAGCUCCGGCUAACUUCGUGCCAGCAGCCGCGGUAAUACGAAGGGGGCUAGCGUUGCUCGGAAUUACUGGGCGUAAAGGGCGCGUAGGCGGACAGCUUAGUCAGAGGUGAAAGCCCAGGGCUCAACCUUGGAAUUGCCUUUGAUACUGGCUGGCUUGAGUUUGGGAGAUGUGAGUGGAACUCCGAGUGUAGAGGUGAAAUUCGUAGAUAGUCGGAAGAACACCAGUGGCGAAGGCGACUCACUGGCCCAAUACUGACGCUGAGGCGCGAAAGCGUGGGGAGCAAACAGGAUUAGAUACCCUAGUAGUCC
rnacentral:rRNA from 1 species